rnacentral:misc_RNA from 1 species
AACGCACGAGACCUGCGGACCUGCGGAGGGAUCAUUACAUGGCGGAGGAGGUGGGCACCUAGUAAAAACAAAACCCUAGGUGUGUUGCCUACCACGCUUUCUACCCUUGUCUAUUUGCACCUUUUGUCGUUCCCUCGGUGGGUCUUGAACCUGCCGGCGGCAACUUUCAAAAACCUUUUGUAGUUAGUAUCUAAUUCUUCUGAUCAAAUAUUCAAUCGUUACAACUUUUAACAAUGGAUC